UGACAGAGUUAGGAGGGAGUGACUAGUGACAGAGAGAGGGAUGGGGUGACUAGUGACAGUCACCCCCUCCUUCACUCUGUCACUAGUCACUCCCUCUCUCACUCUGUCA